UAAACCUAAUAUCUACAAACGAUUACGCAUUUUAAACCUACAUAUAGCAAUAUAUUUUGCCUGGCAGUUGGUUACAUUUAGGAUCUAGAACUGUACUGUACAUCGAAUAAGCUAUAUCGUUUAAUCCUUCGUUCGAGUGUACUAUACAUUGUUUGCAAGUGGCUGAUGACUCGUUUCUAAAACUACAAUAUCUUCUCAUCGGAUUGUUCAAAAAGCCCAAGCGCCAGAUUUGCCCGAACGUAUGGUACCAUGCAGUGUAAUCUAAAGUCGCGUGGCAUGUCAUCCGUAAGAUACCUGUAGAGACGAGCUUCUGAUAUUUACAAUUCUACAAAAGCCCGGAUCUACAGGGUAGAUCACGAAUGUGCCUAUCUUAUGCCCCCACUCUUUUCGGCCAUUGUCUCCUCUAGGUAGCGAGAUCUGUAACACAGAAGCCCAGUUUUUACACAUACGUCGAAACCACGAAAGAGAAGGAUAGGGUUAGGUUUAGGUUAGAAGGCUCAUUUCCAUGAAUCGCGGUAAUCGAUAGCAAACACGGCGUUGCCCAUCGUUAAAUUACACUCUGAAAAUUGUACAUCGUGUCCAGUCAUUAAAUUACCAUUCAGUGUCACAGGAAGAGUUAUCCUCGAGAUUGAAUACGAAUCGGGCAAUGGUUGCAAUAACCAAGCGAUAGUAAUCGCGAAUUAAUUGCAUGAUACCGAUUGCAAAGUGAUCAAGCGUGCAACGACACGUAACUACAUAUGAAUAACCGUAUGAGCAUGACUAUAUAAAGCCGGCAGGGAUUAGAAAUUUCGUCCCAGCUACCGAACCGUACGUGACGCCGGAAAACCUUCACUAAAAUCGGACGUGACAUCGCAUGCAUAUCCGGAAUACGACAGAAGGAAGUCGAUGUAUUUGACGUGAAAAAUAGAAAAUUAACAAGAGAUCGGAAUUGAAUGCGUGGAAUCAGAGUGGAAGAAAAAGAGAGGUGGCAGAACACGAAUCAGAAUAACUGAUCAUUGGAAAAUAAGAGGACACAAAACAUUACAUGCUUGUGAUCGUUCGCGCGAGCAACAGGCGGAGCAAACAUCUCGCGUGCAACGCAGCUGUUCAACGACCGAUUAAAGUGCAUAAGCCAAAGACCUAAGAAGAUUAGAUUUCACGAAAUUCCAACGAGUAAAAAUAAGACAGGCAGGCGUGCGCGCCUUCACGUUCACAGAAUCGAGGUCAAAGUAUCGACAUGCUGGGAAUGCUAUUAGAAAAGUGAAACCAUGAAAACGGACAACACGAUCGUUGUAGCAAACCCUGGUUCACAACAGCGGCGCGAUUCGCGCGUUUUCCAGCGUGUAAGGAGCGCGCGAGUGGAAGCGCGGAAGGGCCAACGCCCUUCGAAACGAAACGCAGCGGCCGACUGUCCUUUUUGGCCCCGAGCGGAGAAGGCAUUCGGCGACAAGCGCGAAUCCUCGAGUCGCGGGGCGUCUCUCCCACGGUUGCCCGGCCGAAGCCAGGGGCAUCCCCCGGAUUCUGCGAUGAUUGGACCGCGCGCACCCUCGCCCCACUCGCGACGAGGGAGAUGCCACCGCACAGGGCCGUGGCCAACAAGCCAGGUGCCACAGGCAAAACCCCCGAAAUCAGUAUUGAUAUCGCAUUAUUCGACGCGCGCCCAACGUUUUUUCCCCUGUGACGCGGAUGUUACCGUGCGAGUGGAAACGUUUGCUAGAGGGUGGAUGGCUGUUGGAAAAAUGGGGUGGGAUAAUUUGUGGAUGGGGGUAAUUGGCUUGGGGAGAUGAUGGCUCGAUUGUUGAGAGUAAAAGGGACAAAUGAGACCUGAAAUGUAAUGGAUAAUGUUAGUUUAUAAGUUUCAUUUGGCGUAGUACGAGAGAUGAAAUUAAAAUAGAUGAUGUCUUAAGAACUAGAAACGGAGAAUUCUGUUUUAUGAACAGCGUGUACAUAGGUUUGGAUGUUUGAAGAGAGGACAAGUUUAGGUAUUUUAUUGUGAAUCGUUCACGGGGAAUGUGUAUGAGAAAAAUGCAAUUUUAUGAAGAGGGUAGCCUCAGAUAUUUGAAGAAAAACGUAGCAUCUUAUUAUCGUACAGUUAUAAUUUAUUCUGUGUACAAUUCAAAUGAGCGAUGGUUUCACAACCAUAUGGUAGUCAAUUUUAUUUUAUAAAGAGAAUGUAAAUUUAGAUAUCUGAUGAAAGUAUAGGUUUUAGGUUUACAAUUGUAUAGAACAAGAUCAAAGGUUGUAUUGAGCGUUAAAUUUUAGGGAAAUGAAAAUUGAAUGUUGUAUGGAUAUGUAAUUAAGAGUCACCUGGUAUCGAGUAACGAUUACGUGUACAGAAUUUCUCUUAUGAAAUUCUCGCGCAGAAAUUCAUGCAUUGUAUACGUGUGGCGUGAGCGUGAAGGAAGUUUAUGUGGCUCUGUAUUAAGAGAAAGGGACGCCGAACAAUUUUAUCGUUUACAUGACAAAUUGACAUCGGGCUACACUCGUAUGUCAUCGACAUUGCUAAACGAUUGAGUUUCUCCGAACCGAGUGCUUGUCCUUUA